AUUGAACGCUGGCGGCAUGAUUUACACAUGCAAGUCGAACGGUAACAGGCCGCAAGGUGCUGACGAGUGGCGAACGGGUGAGUAAUGCAUCGGAACGUGCCCAGUCGUGGGGGAUAACUACUCGAAAGAGUAGCUAAUACCGCAUACGAUCUAUGGAUGAAAGCGGGGGACCGUAAGGCCUCGCGCGAUUGGAGCGGCCGAUGUCAGAUUAGGUAGUUGGUGGGGUAAAGGCUCACCCAGCCAACGAUCUGUAGCUGGUCUGAGAGGACGACCAGCCACAUUGGGACUGAGACACGGCCCAGACUCCUACGGGAGGCAGCAGUGGGGAAUUUUGGACAAUGGGCGCAAGCCUGAUCCAGCAAUGCCGCGUGCAGGAAGAAGGCCUUCGGGUUGUAAACUGCUUUUGUACGGAGCGAAACGGCUCUGGUUAAUACCCGGGGCUAAUGACGGUACCGUAAGAAUAAGCACCGGCUAACUACGUG
rnacentral:rRNA from 1 species